UUAAAAAAUCUUUUCAAGGUUUUUUCUUUUUCUCUUCACAUAAUUGUCUCGUCUUAUUUUUCACACUAAAUAUAAGAUUGUUCAAGUAUUAAAAGAUUGAGGUUUAAGUGAAUGUUAGAAACUGAAGUUUUUUUUUUAAGAGUUUUUUAAUAGUAAUGAGAGAAUUUUUAUUGUAAUGACCCAAAAAUCACUAAUAAGGCUUAAGGGCAUUGAUUAGUAUGUCGGAAGGGGAUAAUUGGUUUAUGUGUGAUUUAAAUGAUUUAAUGCAUGAUUUCAUGAUAAGCAUGCUUAUAUGAUUAUAUGGAUAUAUGAAAUGCAUGUCUAAGAGUAUUAGUAUGCAUGUAGGCCCUGUUUAGCUUAAAGGGGCAUAUUUGUAAUUUUAGUCCGUUGAUGGCAUAAAUGUAAUUAUAUGUUAUAGUUGUGGAGACCACAUUAUUAUGUUGAUAUAUUUGCAGCGUGUGCCUUGAGGCGAUCUAGGGAGCUAGUUAGCGAGAUAGUCGCAACGGGAUCCAAUACUCGACUCGGGGCAAGUCAAGGGGUAUUUUGGGUUAUCGGGUUAUGGAAAUAAAUAAUUUGAUAUAUAUUUGAGGUUAUAAAGCUUAAGAGGGAAUACUGAGGAAAUUUACCAUUUUGCCAUUGGGGACGUUUUGGGUACCCUAAGCUUUGGGAUUAACUUAAGUAACCUAAGUAAGACAAAAACAAACAAGGAAAUAGCUAGAAACACCUAAACUGGCCAAUCUCUCUUCUCUCAGCUCACUCAACUCUCUCUCUCUCUCUCUCUCUCUCUCUCUCUCUCUCUCUCUCUCUCUCUCUCUCUCUCUCUCUCUCUCAAGGAAACCAUUGAAACCAAGGGAUAUUUGGCUGGAAAUUCAAGGAUUUAAGCUGGAAUUGUGGGGAGAAUUUCAGUAGCAAUCUGAAGGUUCAGAUCAGGAAUUUAGGUAAGCAUUGAAUUGUGGUUUAGCUGACUAAAUUCUGUAGUUUUGGCAAGGUUCUAAGAGGUUUUGGGUUUUGAUAUUGAAGAUUGAAUUGAGGCUAAGGACUUUGAGAAUUAACUCAGCAAUUACUUGGUGGACUUGUUCUUCUAUAAAGGUAAGCUUUUAAUUAUAGUCUAGCAUCUGAAUUCUAGGAAAUUCUGUAUGUUCUAAGAGGUUUAUGAGCUUACGGGUUUCAAGGAUUGUGGAUUUUGAAGAGUUUAUAAGCUAAGUUUUUGUUGGGUUUUGCUGCUGGAAACAUGUUAGGAUGUUUAUGAUAGUUGAAUUGUGUCAUUAGGAUGGUUUUGGGUGGAUUGAGUGAGGUUUGGCUGCUACAAAUUGUGAUUUUUCUGGGUUUGAAGGGCUCGGGUCGCGACUCUGUCCUUGGUGUGUCGCGACCCUCUAUAACAGGUGGGAGUUGAGGAAGAAGGGCGGGUCGCGACAUGGGGAGUGCUGGGUCGCGGCCCGUGUCUGCUGUCUGGGGAGUCUAGGCCUCUGGUUGGAGGCGGGCCGCGGCAUGGAGGGCUAGGCUUGCGGCUCUUAAGGGUAUUUUUGGCUUUAAGGAGGUUUUAGGUGUGGGAACUUAACCUAGAGUGCUCAGGAUAGAUUCCACUAUCGUGUUUGGUGGAAUUCAAUAUUUUGAUGGUUAGAACUUGAACCAGAAGCCUUUAUUCAUUUGUUAUUGAUGGUCCCCCUUAUUUUGGUUGUGACUAGGUGUACGCUAGGGCUCGGGAAAUGGAUUGUGCUCAAGGGUCAAUUCUCAUAAUCAAAGUGUUCGGAGUUAAAUGUAAGAAAACUGCACUCGGUUGUGAGGUUAUGAUGGGACUAAGGGUUCCCUAUUCUUGUGUGCAUUAUGUAAGGUGGUAUUAUGCCAUGUGAAUAUAAAACAAACGGCGUAAGACUGCUGGAGUUUAUAUUGGUGCAUAGGGCGCAACUCAGCCACUAGUAGCUGAGGACAGCUUAAUAUUCACUGAGCUCGAUUUAAGCAGACCGAAGUCAGUGAAGUAAACAGAGGGUGCGAUCUAAGGUUGUCGACCCUAAUUGUUAUGUGAUAUGGUUAUUGUUGUUAACUGGUAAAGGCAAGAGUAAGCUUGAUCGACCUUGAUUUGGAGAGCUCUAGAGGCAGAAUGUACAUAGUCAACUGCUCGGCUGCCACGGUCGUGGGUUGGACAGGAACGGGAAA